rnacentral:rRNA from 1 species
AGAGUUUGAUCCUGGCUCAGGAUGAACGCUGGCGGCGUGCCUAACACAUGCAAGUCGAGCAGAAUUCUUAAACUGAUUCUUCGGAUGAUUUUUAAGAAGGAAAGCGGCGGACGGGUGAGUACGCGUAGGCAACCUACCUCUUGCAGAGGGAUAGCCUCGGGAAACCGGGAUUAAAACCUCUAAUGCCAUUUUUAGACAUCUUUAAAUGGCCAAAGAUUUAUCGGCAAGAGAUGGGCCUGCUCUGAUUAGUUAGUUGGUGGGGUAACGGCCUACCAAGGCGACGAUCAGUAGCCGACCUGAAGGGUGAUCGGCCACAUUGGAACUGAGACACGGUCCAAACUCCUACGGGAGGCAGCAGUGGGAAUAUUGCACAAUGGGCGAAAGCCUGAUGCAGCAACGCCGCGUGAAGGAAGAAGGCCUUGGGUCGUAAACUUCUGUUCUAAGGGAAGAUAAUGACGGUACCUUAGGAGCAAGUCCCGGUAACUACGUGCCAGCAGCCGC